AUAAUGGGUCAGCGACUUAUAUUCUGUAGCAAGGUUAACCGAAUAGGGGAGCCGAAGGGAAACCGAGUCUUAACUGGGCGUUAAGUUGCAGGGUAUAGACCCGAAACCCGGUGAUCUAGCCAUGGGCAGGUUGAAGGUUGGGUAACACUAACUGGAGGACCGAACCGACUAAUGUUGAAAAAUUAGCGGAUGACUUGUGGCUGGGGGUGAAAGGCCAAUCAAACCGGGAGAUAGCUGGUUCUCCCCGAAAGCUAUUUAGGUAGCGCCUCGUGAAUUCAUCUCCGGGGGUAGAGCACUGUUUCGGCAAGGGGGUCAUCCCGACUUACCAACCCGAUGCAAACUGCGAAUACCGGAGAAUGUUAUCACGGGAGACACACGGCGGGUGCUAACGUCCGUCGUGAAGAGGGAAACAACCCAGACCGCCAGCUAAGGUCCCAAAGUCAUGGUUAAGUGGGAAACGAUGUGGGAAGGCCCAGACAGCCAGGAUGUUGGCUUAGAAGCAGCCAUCAUUUAAAGAAAGCGUAAUAGCUCACUGGUCGAGUCGGCCUGCGCGGAAGAUGUAACGGGGCUAAACCAUGCACCGAAGCUGCGGCAGCGACGCUUAUGCGUUGUUGGGUAGGGGAGCGUUCUGUAAGCCUGUGAAGGUGUACUGUGAGGUAUGCUGGAGGUAUCAGAAGUGCGAAUGCUGACAUAAGUAACGAUAAAGCGGGUGAAAAGCCCGCUCGCCGGAAGACCAAGGGUUCCUGUCCAACGUUAAUCGGGGCAGGGUGAGUCGACCCCUAAGGCGAGGCCGAAAGGCGUAGUCGAUGGGAAACAGGUUAAUAUUCCUGUACUUGGUGUUACUGCGAAGGGGGGACGGAGAAGGCUAUGUUGGCCGGGCGACGGUUGUCCCGGUUUAAGCGUGUAGGCUGGUUUUCCAGGCAAAUCCGGAAAAUCAAGGCUGAGGCGUGAUGACGAGGCACUACGGUGCUGAAGCAACAAAUGCCCUGCUUCCAGGAAAAGCCUCUAAGCAUCAGGUAACAUCAAAUCGUACCCCAAACCGACACAGGUGGUCAGGUAGAGAAUACCAAGGCGCUUGAGAGAACUCGGGUGAAGGAACUAGGCAAAAUGGUGCCGUAACUUCGGGAGAAGGCACGCUGAUAUGUAGGUGAAGUCCCUCGCGGAUGGAGCUGAAAUCAGUCGAAGAUACCAGCUGGCUGCAACUGUUUAUUAAAAACACAGCACUGUGCAAACACGAAAGUGGACGUAUACGGUGUGACGCCUGCCCGGUGCCGGAAGGUUAAUUGAUGG
rnacentral:rRNA from 1 species